CUGGGAGGCCCUGGGUAGAAACCUCAGACCAUCUGAAGUCAGGCUGUGGGAGGCAGUUACCAACAAAGCCAGAGCUCGCAAGACACAGCAGAGCCCUUGAAGGAUGGUGAUGGGUGUGCAGAUCGCACUGAGAAGAACGUAACCGGCCUACCAAGAAGAGCUUUUAGUCACCCAAAUGAUCUCCACAUCUCCUUAAACAUUUUCAAUGCGAUGAUUACAGCAGCAGAAACUGCUCGUGAAAUCAACUCCUGUCUGAAUUGUUAAUGACUGCAGCAGACCAGCACUCCUUCCUCCGCUACAGAUCCUGAUUCUGUUUUGUCCCUUCUAACAGCCGAACAGAUUAGUGCACUCCAGAUUUUCUUCCAGCUAGGCUCAACAUUUGGUUAGUCAUUCAUGACUUUAAAAAAUACAUGACAGUUAUUUAUUUAUUCAUUGAAAAUCCAGCCUGGUUUUCUGGAUCUUUUAAUAGUUUU